GUGGGAGAGCAGCACCAGGGGAACAGUGACGCUAUUGGGAGAAUAAAAGAGUUGCCACAGCACGUCUGGGAAGAAAUAGCUGAGUCACUGAGGAGAGAUGUGUUCUUGGGAAGUUUACAGCUGUAGAGAAGAAAAAGUUAUUGACUUAGAGCAGGCCAUUGCAUGAGGUGAGAGGGAUGCUUUUUAACUCAACAGAAGCAAGCACAUCUGGGAAACCAAAUGGAAGAACAGAAACUCAAGCCCAGCCUCAGGAAACUAAACCCAUUGUCGUAGGUGAGGCCUCCCUGAAGACCGGAGUACCCAUACCAGGACCUGCCAGCGUCUCACUGCUGCUCAGCCAAGGGCAGUGCUGGAGACACAGAGUAAUCCUAUGGCAGAAGAAAAGCUACGAUGCUUCCCAGCCUCCUGCUCUGCACGUCACCAUCUCUGGUGCCAGGACUUCCCCAUGCACAGCGAGUGUCCUCCCCUGUGCCGUGAUCAGACUGUGUCGAACGUGCUGCUAACAAACACAUGCAGGGGCUCACUUCCACCUUGGCGCUGCCUGCUGAUGUGCGUGUGAUAUCAGUGAGUAAAAUAAGCCUCGAUCUUUACAAAAGCAGUGCUCUAAGUUUAU